rnacentral:sRNA from 1 species
AUUCUGCCCAUGCGGGGAAGGAUGAGAAGCUUCGACCAAGGUUCGACUCGAGCGCCAGCGAGAGAGCGUGGCCGCAGGCAACGACCCGAAGGUGGCAACCGCUUCCUGAAUAUCA